rnacentral:rRNA from 1 species
CCUACGGGAGGCAGCAGUGGGGAAUAUUGCACAAUGGGCGCAAGCCUGAUGCAGCCAUGCCGCGUGUGUGAAGAAGGCCUUCGGGUUGUAAAGCACUUUCAGCGGGGAGGAAGGCGUUAAGGUUAAUAACCUUGGCGAUUGACGUUACCCGCAGAAGAAGCACCGGCUAACUCCGUGCCAGCAGCCGCGGUAAUACGGAGGGUGCAAGCGUUAAUCGGAAUUACUGGGCGUAAAGCGCACGCAGGCGGUCUGUCAAGUCGGAUGUGAAAUCCCCGGGCUCAACCUGGGAACUGCAUUCGAAACUGGCAGGCUAGAGUCUUGUAGAGGGGGGUAGAAUUCCAGGUGUAGCGGUGAAAUGCGUAGAGAUCUGGAGGAAUACCGGUGGCGAAGGCGGCCCCCUGGACAAAGACUGACGCUGAGGCGCGAAAGCGUGGGGAGCGAACAGGAUUAGAUACCCGAGUAGUC